UACGUAGGGCGCAAGCGUUGUCCGGAAUUAUUGGGCGUAAAGAGCUCGUAGGCGGCUUGUCACGUCGGGUGUGAAAGCCCGGGGCUUAACCCCGGGUCUGCAUUCGAUACGGGCAGGCUAGAGUGUGGUAGGGGAGAUCGGAAUUCCUGGUGUAGCGGCGAAAUGCGCAGAUAUCAGGAGGAACACCGGUGGCGAAGGCGGAUCUCUGGGCAUUAACUGACGCUGAGGAGCGAAAGCAUGGGGAGCGAACAGG
rnacentral:rRNA from 1 species